GGCUCCACGAGGCGGGAUUUGGGCUUGGAGAACUCGGAUUGGAGGAGGCGUGGCUUGCGUCUGGCCAAAUUAAUUGUGUUGUUAGAAACAGGGGAGGAGGUCAUCCAUGGCGACAGAGUGGAAGGAGAAAUGGGGAAAGUAGAGGCGUGCGGAACACUGUGCGAAUGGGGUGGCGGGGGUCACACCUCACUCUCUGUGGGAAUCGGGUGGCGGAGUGACCAGCUCAAUGUUGGUUGGAGUUUGAGGGAACGAGGCGAACUGCGGGCUCGCCGGAGAGAUGGGAUGACGUGGGGAGCUCUGGAUUUGUACCACCACCGCCGCAUUAUCCUUGCUUCCGGCGGCGGGAUUCCGUCCUCUUCCUCCGGGUUCCAUUUAGUGAGUCAGGGAUGAUGAUGCAUUCCGGGAAAAAAAACAGAGAGAGAUGGUGAGAGGAGAAAGAAGAUAUGGUGGUAUGCCAGAGGGGCUGAGUUUGACUGAAGAAGAGAAGAUCCGCCAUUGCAAGUGGGGUGGGAGGGAAGGAAGAAGACGUGUGUCGGUCGCCAUGUGUGCUGGAGAAAUGAAGAAAAGUAAUGGAAGCAGGUUUUCA
rnacentral:lncRNA from 1 species